GGACUACAAGGGUUUCUAAUCCUGUUUGAUCCCCUUGCUUUCGCGCCUCAGCGUCAGGUGUAAGCUAGAAAACCGCCUUCGCCACCGGUGUUCUUCCACAUAUCUACGCAUUUCACCGCUACUUGUGGAAUUCCGUUUUCUCCGCCUACCCUCAAGGGUUGCAGUUUCAAAUGCUGUUCCGAGGUUGAGCCCCGGGAUUUCACAUCUGACUUACAAUCCCGCCUACGCGCCCUUUACGCCCAAUAAAUCCGAUUAAUGCUUGCACCCUCCGUAUUACCGCGGCGGCUGGCAC
rnacentral:rRNA from 1 species